rnacentral:rRNA from 1 species
GACGAACGCUGGCGGCGUGCUUAACACAUGCAAGUCGAACGAUGAACCCGGAGCUUACUCGGGCGGACUAGUGGCGAACGGGUGAGUAACACGUGCGUAACCUGCCCUUGACUCUGGGAUAACUGCUAGAAGUGGUAGCUAAUACCGGAUACGACCCUAGGUGGCAUCACCAGGGGGUGGAAAGCAGUUCGGUCAAGGAUGACUCGCGGGCUAUCAGCGAGUUGGUGAGGUAACGGUUCACCAAGGCGACGACGGGUUGCCGGCCUGACAGGGUGACCGGCCACACUGAGACUGAUACACGGCCCAGACUCCUACGGGUGUCAGCAGUGGGCAAUAUUGCACAAUGGGCGCAAGCCUUAUGCAGCAACGCCGCGUGAGGUAUGACGGCCUUCGGGUUGUAAACCUCUUUUAGUAGGGAAGAAGCGAAAGAGACGGUACCUGCAGAAAAAGCACCGGCUAACUACGUGCCAGCAGCCGCCGCAG